ensembl:lncRNA
GAAAGAAAAUGGUCCUUAAUGGAAGUGGCACUUUUAGGGGGUGUGGCCUUGUUGGAGUAGGUGUGGUCUUUUUGGAGGAAGUGUGUCACUGUGAAGGUGGGUUUUGAAGUCUAGGUACCGCCCAAUGUCUCAGUUCACUCCUGUUGCCUGCAAGAUGUAGAACUCAAGGUUCCUUCUCCAGCACUGUCUAUCUUCAUGCAGCCACGUCCCACCAUGAUGAUAAUGGGCUAAACCUCUAAACUAGCAUGGACGUCCCAGACACCUCGGAUAGAACCAAACACAACUGGAGAAAAAAAAAUGUCAACGUAAUGAUGCCUAAUGGUAUUCUGCUAUACUCAUAGAUUGGUGCCUAGCCCAAUUGUCAUCAGAGAAAAAUCAUCCAGCUAUUGGUGGAAAAAAAUAGAGACCACAGUCAAACAUGAGGCCGAGCUCAGAGAAUACUGCUGAAGAGAGGAAGAAUUGUAGGAGUCAGAGGGGUCAAGGACAUCACAAGAAACCCACAGAUCAACUCACCUGGGCUCAUAGGAGCUCACAGAGACUGAAUUGACCACUAGGGAGCCUGCAUGGGACUGACCUAGGCCCACUGCAUAUAUGUGACAGGUGUAUAGCUUGGUGUUCUUGUGGACUCCUAACAAUGGACGCAGGGGCUGUCCUCUGACUCUUGCUGGCUUUUGGAACCCUACUCAUACUGGGUCUCCUUGCCCAACCUUAAUACAUGGGGAGGUGCUUUGUCUUACUGCAACUUGAGCCAAGUUUUGUUGAUAUCCACAGGAGACCUUCCUUUUUCUGAAUAGAAAUAGAGGAGGGUGGAUGGGGGUAGUGGUGGUGGUGGUGGGGUGCAGGGAGGAGAGGAGGGAAGGGAAACUGGUCCAGAUGUUAAAAAAACAACGAUGGCACUUUCUUUUUCCAAACUAGGAACAUUGUUCUUGAAGGGCUAGGACACUCAGAGUUUGAAGUUUACAUUUCCCUGAGAACAUACUAGUUUUUUCUCACUGCAUAAAGCACCCCAAUACUCAGUGGCUUAAAACAGUGACCGAUUGACACUGACUCUUGUGAUUUCGUGUUGGCGAUCCAGGGGGCUCUCUGUUGCUCUUACCUGGGAACAAGUGUGUAGCUGCCUGCAGGUGCUGCUGGCGAUUGUAAGAUGGCCUCAGUAGCGUGUCUGGCUGCUCGUGAGGUGGCCUCGGUUCUUUUCCAGGUAGCUCAUAUUCUACAGUGUCUUGAUGGAUCUCAGAGUGGGAAGUGGGAAGCAGCAGGGACUGUGAAGCCUCUUAUGACUCAGUCUCUGGAUCUGCCAGCAUUGCUUCCACCACCUCUCAUUUAUCAAAGCAAAGUUUUUGUUUUAAUUUAAAAUUUUCUUCUAGGGGCUGGAGAGACAGCUCAGUGGUUGAGUGCUUACUGGGCCAAGCAUGGUACUGCAUGCUUUUAAUCCCAGCACUCAGGAGGUAAAGGCAGGUACAUUUCUGUGAGUUCAAGGCCAGCCUGGUCUACAUAGUGAGUUCCAAGCCAGCCUAGGCAACAUAGUGAGACCUUGUCUCAAAAAACAAAAACCAAGGCCAGGCGUUGGUGGCACAUGCCUUUAAUCCCAGUAGGUGGGUCUCUGUGAGUUCAAGGCCAGCCUGGUCUCCAGAGCGAGUGCCAGGAUAGGCUCCAAAGCUACACAGAGAAACCCUGUCUCGAAAAACCAAACCAACCAAACAAACAAAAAACAAAAAACAAAAACAAAAACAAUGCAAAAAAGAAUGCUUACUGCUCUUGCAGAAGGCCCAGGUUUAGUUCUCAACACCCACAAAGCGGGUCACUUCCACCUGUAACUCCAGUUCUCGAGGAUCUGAUGCCCUCUUCUGACCUCCAUAGGCACUGCCUGCACAAGGUAUACGUGCAUAAAUGCAGGCAAAAAUCAUUUAAAGUGAAUACAUACUAAAUAAAUGUAUUUAAAAUGAUUCUCUUAUUAUUAUUUGUGUGUGUGAAAAAGAAAGGUAGGUAAAGGUAGGGAGAGCACGUGGCUGUACUCAGGCUAUGGGACACAUGGAAGCUAGGGAACAAUUUUUGGUGAGGAGUUCACUUCUACCACAGUAAGUUCCAAGAAACGAACUCAGGAUCAUCAGGCCUGUUCAGCAAGUGCUUUCCCUGCAGAGUUGUCUUACUGGGCCCAAUUAUUUAUUUUUACAAGCCUGGAAGUCCAACUCAGAAUCAAAUGUAUGCAGAAAUAGUCUCACCGUGCCUCUCUCUGGCUCCGUCUCUCAGUAAGAAGAAAUGACACAUCCCAGACGGAUGUGGAGAAUGCUUAGUGGUCUUUCUCAUGCCAAUGAGGACAAGGGUUCCUUGCGAUACAGACACUGCUGCCCUUUGAAUUUUGGUGAUGAGUUCGACAGAUUAUUCUAGGUCAGAGUUCCCAGAGUUGUUGAAUGCUGGGCAGCUGGGCUGAUUCACGUAACUAAUUGCUUUUCUUUGGAAAUAUUCAGCCUCUACACAUACCACCACUGGAUCAAACAGCUAGAGAGCGCCAUCGAGAUCCAUCGAGGGCAUCGUAGAGUCUCCACUCAUCCUGGUGUUCGGAGAGGAAAGCACUGGUUCAAACAGUAGAUACAGAGUAUUAAAUCUUGGACACUAGUCCCCUCCGCCACACAGGCUGGGUGUUGGUGGUGUUGGUGGUGACAGCAGGUUCUCUUCUUCACCUUUAUCUGUGCCUGGGAGGGUAGCACUAGUCACGGGGUGGACAUUAGUUGUAAUGUCUGCUCCUGCCUCAGAGGUGAAUGGGCACGGAACACUGGACAGACAUAUAUGUUAUUUCUUUUUUCCUUUUUUAAAAAUUUAAAUUAGAAACAAGCUUGUUGUACAUGUCAAUCCAAGUUCCCUCUCCAUCCCCUCUUCUCCUGCCUCCCACCCCCCCCAUCCCAUCCCCUUUCUGCUCCUCAGGGAGGGUGAGGCCUUCCAUGGGGAUCAUCAAAGUCUGUCACAUCAUUUGGAGCAGGGCCUAGGCCCUUCCCCUGUGCCUAGGUUGAGAGAGUAUCCCUCUAUGUGGAAUGGGCUCCCAAAGCCCAUUAGUGUCGCGCCUAUCUCGACCAGCAAGAAGGACACGACCACGACUCUUCUUCAAGCAGUUUAUUCAGGAACCUUGUACAUCAGCCUUCGCUCUCUGCUUCUUCUAUAUCUCCCAGCCCCCUGGCAAGCCCUUAAAAGCAAGCUCAUUACCCAAUUAGCUCAUGCCACCUGGCGAUCCCGGAUAGGUCACAGCUGGAGGAGGCACACCAGAUCCACUAAGGGCUUCCAAAUAAGGCUUGUUUACAGCUAAGCUCGGCGCCAUCUUGGGGCUGUGGCUCCCCACACAUUAGUAUACUAGGGAUAAAUACUGAUCCACUACUAGAGGCCCAUAAAUUGCCCGGGCCUUCUAACUUACACCCAUGCUCAAGGGGUCUGGAACAGUCCUAUGCUGGUUUUCCAGCUAUCAGUCUGGGGUCCAUGAGCUCCCCCUUGUUCAGGUCAGCUGUUUCUGUGGGUUUCUCCAGCCUGGACUUGAUCCCUUUGCUCAUCACUCUUCCCUCUCUGCAACUGGAUUCCAGGAGUUCAGCUUAGUGUUUAGCUGUGGGUCUCUGCUUCUGCUUCCAUCAGCUACUGGAUGAAAGCUCUAGGAUAGCAUAUAAGGUAAUGCUCAAUCUCAUUAUUGGGGAAGGGCAUUUAAGGUAGCCUCUCCACUAUUGCUUAGAUUGUUAGUUGGUGUCAUCCUUAUAUCAUCUGGACAUUUCCCUAGUGCCAGAUUUCUCUUAGGGUAAAAGUGGAGGGGGGAAGAGGACAUGAGGGAGCAGGAAGAUUGAGUCAGGGGAAGAAUAGAGGAGAGCAAGAAAAGAGAUUCCAUAACAGAGGGAGCCAUUAUAGGUUUAAAUAGAUGUAAUUUCUACCUCAUUGUGUUUUAGCUGCCCGAGUGUUGCAGUAAUGCGGAUUAAAUGGGAGCAAGUAAUGGAUGAGUAUGAUCAAAUUUCUCCACCAAGUUUUGGUCUGACCCAAUGAAGCAUCCAAACAAGCCAUGAUUCUUCAAGAUAAACUUGGGGAAGUACAAAAAGCCAGAGGCUCAGAGUCACCACUUAUUUCCGAAUGAGAGAGGACUCCUGAGUACAGGGAGAGGUUGAUUCCAGACCCAGACUCAAACAUCUUAACCCUAACACUAACCCUAACCCUCAAACACUCUGUACUCCCCCACCCCCCAAUCUGGAACGGUCCAGACCUACCCAAGAUCACACAGUAGUUCACAAACUGACCAAUGGCCUCAGUGGCUGCCAGCUCACAAGAGCAAGGUGAGCCUUAACUGUUGAGGAUGCUGUAGGUUUACCAGGGACCAACCCCGAGCCUUAGUUAGCAGGAAUACCGCUGUGGCUCCCAUUGUGUAGACUCUGCAGUGCCCAUGUGCUCUGCCAUCAACAAAUGCACCAGAGGAGAAAGAGAGCCAUCAGAAGGGCAAGAGUCGAGACUCAAGCACAGAAGAGCAGCCUGAACGUGAGAGAAAACGCAGUUCGGUGAAAUGGAUUUAACCAAUACAGGAGCAUCCAAAGAAGAAAAUGAAGGUUGAAACAAACGACAGGAAGGUGCUGAAAAGCUUAAGAUUUGGAAAGAGGAAAACAAACAAACAAACAAAAGCAAGCUGAGAAAUGUCCUCAAGGAAAUAGGACGGUAAGAGCAGAGAAGAGAAAGGGGAACCAGGCAAAGGCAGAGCAGGGGAGGAUCUGUUUGGGUCAAAGCUGAACUCUGGGUUUGAGGCACUUUAGUUGCAUCUCCUGAGGUCAAAUUGAAAAAUAGUGAGGACCUGGUUCUUCAUGUCAUGCAAAUGACACUUUCUCUUCAAUGUCACUUUUCUCUGAGUGAACGCGCCUGGAAAUCAAGUUUCCCCCUUUUCUAAAAGCACUCUAGGCAUUCCUUGGUAAGCAUAGCUUUGUUCUUAGUCAUCGGUUUGCUGUGAUGGCAGAAUUAUUUUCCCUUGGGAGGUCCUUUAUUUAAAAUUGCUGGGCUGGCAGACCUAGUAGAGCCUGUUCCUUGGUUGGGGUUUGCUUGAGUUUCCAUUCACAUGUAUUUUGUUAUUGUUUUUAGACUUUUUAAUUGAUUCUUUGUGAAUUCCACAUCAUGUACCCUGAUCCCAUCCGUCUCCUUGUCCCUCCCUAUCUGCUCUCUGCUCUCGCAACCUCCCUCCCCCACAAAACACCACCACCAACAAAACACCCCUAACAUACAAAAAGAAAAAGAAAAAAGUCUCCACAUGGAAGCUGUAGUGUGGCCCAGUGAGUCACACAGUCCACCCUUUAGUCCACACGGCUUUAUAUACAAGUGUUCAUUGCAGCGAGUCCUUGGUCUGCUCUGAGGUCUCUGGCUUCUGCUAACCUUUGAUGCCGGGCCCUCACUGGACUCCUCUUGAUAUCCUGUUGUUGCCCUGGGCCAUGAAGAUCCUGCAGCUUUGGACUUGCAGGUCUGGGCCCCUUCACAUGCUCCUGCGGUUUAUAGAUGAGGUGGAACUCAUAUCCCUGGUUCUGGGCCUAGGUGGUAGCUGGGUUGGUCAGGCUGCCGGCUUUCCCUCAUGUACACCACUAGGGCGAACUCUAGCUUUCCCAGGACUAGUUCACCCACUGCAGUAAGCAGCAAGGAGUGGGGCCUGUUCUCUCCUCAUGUCCUCAGGCUGGCUCAUCUGCACCACACCACCAGGGCCCCCUCUAUUGUUUUGCCCAGGUGAGGGCCCACUCUCCUGAGUGCUGCAGUUGGUGAAGGACAUGGCCAGCUCUCCUGCUCUCAUGCCCCUGAGGCCAGUUCACCUGGCUGCUGCAGGUAGCAAGGGGUGGGGGAGGGCAUUUCACCAACAGGCUCAGCUCGACUGUGUUACCUGCUCCCCUGCCCCACUCCACCAUGUGGCAGAAGAGGGGUGGGGCCAGAUUUCUCACACAUGUUCACUGGGCCAGAUGACCUGUAACCCCCGCCCCCACCAACAGGGCCAGCUUGACUGUGCUGCUGAGGCAAGGUGCAGAGCUCACUUUUCUGAGUUCUGCAGUUGGUGGGGUUCGGGGCCAGUUCUCCCCAGUGCUGCAGACAGUGUGGGUUGGGGACAACUCUGUGCAGUACUGUCCUCACUGCCUUUGGUGGUAACAGGAGCCAUGGACAUCAACACAGACUGAGGCAAUGGCAAGAACAUGGACCCAAACAUGGUCCUUGGCAGCAGCCCAGGCCCAGAUGACACCAUGGCCCUUGGUGGCGGCAGUGCAGGCCACUCAGAUCGUCACCUUUACCAUCAUCACCAUCACCAUCAUCACCAUCAUCACCAUCAUCAUCACCAUCAUCACCAUCACCAUCAUCACCAUCAUCACCAUCAUCAUCACCAUCAUCACCAUCACCAUCAUCACCAUCAUCAUCACCAUCACCAUCAUCAUCACCAUCACCAUCAUCACCAUCAUCAUCACCAUCAUCCUCAUCAUCACCAUCAUCACCAUCACCAUCAUCAUCCUCACCAUCAUCACCAUCAUCAUCCUCACCAUCAUCACCAUCACCAUCACAUCACCAUCAAUCAUCAUCAUCAUCAUCACCAUCAUCCUCACCAUCAUCACCAUCAUCACCAUCAUCAUCAUCACCAUCAUCAUCAUCACCAUCAUCACCAUCAUCACCAUCAGCACUAUUAUCAUCACCAUCAUCACCAUCAUCACCAUCAUCAUCACCAUCAUCAUCACCAUCAAUCAUCAUCAUCAUCAUCACCAUCAUCACCAUCAUCAUCCUCACCAUCAUCACCAUCAUCACCAUCACCAUCACCAUCAUCAUCAUCAUCACCAUCAUCACCAACACUAUAAGCUAUAAGCUUACACUGCUGUGAUGUCCUUAAAAUAAAGAUCUUGACUUGUCUACCUCUUUGCUUUUGUUCUUUGCAGCCUCUUGCCAAGCCAAAGUCCUUCACCAGUCCCUGCCCUACUGUUUGCCAUCCAUUGGGGUUCACUGAGGCUCCUGUCAACUGCAAGAAGGGGCUCAUGGGAAUGCAGCCAUGACUAUAUGCCCAUGACCGUUUCUUCACACUUGAUCUUGGCUCUAGUGAGUUUACUAUUUUGGUGGGAAUAGGAAACUGUGGCUUAGAAAACAAACUAUCCCAGUUAGAAAGAUGUAUUUUGAGAAUAUAAUACCAGAAGUCAUCUCUUUGUUUGAGACAGGGUCUCAUUAUGUAGCAUUGGCUGUCCUGAAACAUGCUCCGUAGACCUGUCUGGCCUUCAUCUCAUGGAGAUCCAGCUGUCUCUGCCUCCCAGUGCUAAGAUGAAAGGUGUAUAGGACCACGCUCAUUUGUAGUAAUUUUUGAGUUGUUAUAUGAAAUAUAAUUAUAAAUACAUGCAAUUGAGAUUUUCCUACAUCCAGUGCCCCUUCACCUCUGUGGUGGGUCGGCAGCGAGCCUGUCAGCUUAGGAAUUCUGCAGACACUAAGUCUUUCAGAGAAAUCUAGGAUUACAAGGCACACCCACCCUGCCAAGUGCCCUUCAGCGAGGCCUCUUCUCCACUAUGCUUAUCGGAAACCACCAAAGAUGCAGGGUGCGUUCAUCCUUGCAGGUUUCGGUUCAUCCAUGUAGCCGUUCUCACAACUGCUGUGCUUUUCAAGAGGCAGGAAAAGUUGGCUACACCCUAAGAAGUGGCAGCGGUUGCCUUUGUAUUCAGGAAAAGGCACUGCGUCUGUGGCAGUUAGCUCG